rnacentral:rRNA from 1 species
GAUGAACGCUGGCGGCGUGCCUAAUACAUGCAAGUCGAGCGAACAGAUAAGGAGCUUGCUCCUUUGACGUUAGCGGCGGACGGGUGAGUAACACGUGGGUAACCUACCUAUAAGACUGGGAUAACUUCGGGAAACCGGAGCUAAUACCGGAUAACAUUUGGAACCGCAUGGUUCUAAAGUGAAAGAUGGUUUUGCUAUCACUUACAGAUGGACCCGCGCCGUAUUAGCUAGUUGGUAAGGUAACGGCUUACCAAGGCAACGAUACGUAGCCGACCUGAGAGGGUGAUCGGCCACACUGGAACUGAGACACGGUCCAGACUCCUACGGGAGGCAGCAGUAGGGAAUCUUCCGCGAUGGGCGAAAGCCUGACGGAGCAACGCCGCGUGAGUGAUGAAGGGUUUCGGCUCGUAAAACUCUGUUAUUAGGGAAGAACAAAAGUGUAAGUAACUGUGCACGUCUUGACGGUACCUAAUCAGAAAGCCACGGCUAACUACGUG